GAAAUUGGAAAAUAGCAAAAAUCAGGGAGCGUUGGAUGGAUCCUCAUUAAUUGACGUGGAGGAUCUAAUGGUCAUGGCAUGCGCGUGCACCAAAGUCCUUAGUAAAUGCAACCACACACUGAAUUAGAAUAAGUCAUAUCAUUGGAGGGUGGAGAUUAGAUCUGGGAAUUGAGAUCAAUGGCUCACAUUGAAUUUGGCAAUGAGCCGGUGGCCAGCGCCACCGUCUUCUCCGGUGAGCUCCGGCGAAGGCCAAAAAAC
rnacentral:lncRNA from 1 species